rnacentral:rRNA from 1 species
CAGUAGCCGCGGUAAUACGUAGGUGGCAAGCGUUGUCCGGAAUUAUUGGGCGUAAAGGGCUCGCAGGCGGUUUCUUAAGUCUGAUGUGAAAGCCCCCGGCUCAACCGGGGAGGGUCAUUGGAAACUGGGAAACUUGAGUGCAGAAGAGGAGAGUGGAAUUCCACGUGUAGCGGUGAAAUGCGUAGAGAUGUGGAGGAACACCAGUGGCGAAGGCAACUCUCUGGUCUGUAACUGACGCUGAGGAGCGAAAGCGUGGGGAGCGAACAGGAUUAGAUACCCCUGUAGUCCCUGUCUCUUAUAC